AUGAAAUAUCCAUCAGAAUAAGAUAUCCCCAAAUUUUAAGUCACAUCGAUAAAUUUUUCUCUUGGCUUGAAUCCCUUUUAUCAUCAAAGCAAUUGAUCGUCUUGUUGCACCAUCUUGCCAACAUAUCCCCACAGAGGCACUACUGAGUUUCAUAUACUCCAACCAAGUCUAGUUUGUGCUUAAACUUUCUACCUAAUCCUCGAACAAAGUGAUGUCUGCAUCAAGUUCUUUACACUUAACACCAAUUAUUUGAUCUACAUCUAAACUCCCUAACUAU
rnacentral:lncRNA from 1 species